UCUGGCUUUUAGGUUCCCUCACUUGUCUGAAAAUGCUACUUGUUUUAUCCGUGCAGAGAAUCAAUUGGUGGAAGAGAAUCAGCGAUUAAAACAGGUGAGGAAUCCUUCACAAGAACAAGGAGGCCAGUCAUCUGAGUCAGCCAACACUGGCAGCAUAUUUGAUCCUCCGCAUGAUGAUGAUAGUUCAGACACUUCUCUCAGAUUGGGAUUGUCUUUAUUUAAAUGAGAACAG